GACGAACGCUGGCGGCGUGCUUAACACAUGCAAGUCGAACGGAAAGGCCACUUUGGGGGUCCUCGACUGGCGGCCGGGUGAGUAACACGUAGGUAACCUUCCCUUGCCUCUGUGUCGACUUCAGGAAAGUGGGGCUAAUACCGGUAAGAAAUCAUACCUCCAUCGGGUGGGUUGGAAAGAUUCGGCGGCUUUGGGUGGGCUAGCGGGUUAUCGGCUUGUUGGGGGGGUGGUGGGUUAACAAGGCUUCAACGCGUAGCUGGCCUGCGGGGGCGACCGGCCACAUUGGGACUGAGAGGCGGCCGAGACGGCUACUGUAGGCAGCAGGGGGUAAGAUUGCACAAUGGGCGGAGGGCUGAUGCAGCAGCGCCUCGUGCGGGAUGACGGUCUUCGUGUGGUAAACCGGCUUCAGCAUGGGCGAAGCUUGUGGUGACGGUACCUGAAGAAGAAGCACCGGCUAACUACGUG
rnacentral:rRNA from 1 species